GGCGUGCCUAAUACAUGCAAGUCGAGCGGACUUAAAAAGCUUGCUUUUUAAGUUAGCGGCGGACGGGUGAGUAACACGUGGGCAACCUGCCUGUAAGACUGGGAUAACUUCGGGAAACCGGAGCUAAUACCGGAUAAUCCUUUCCUACUCAUGUAGGAAAGCUGAAAGACGGUUUACGCUGUCACUUACAGAUGGGCCCGCGGCGCAUUAGCUAGUUGGUGAGGUAACGGCUCACCAAGGCGACGAUGCGUAGCCGACCUGAGAGGGUGAUCGGCCACACUGGGACUGAGACACGGCCCAGACUCCUACGGGAGGCAGCAGUAGGGAAUCUUCCGCAAUGGACGAAAGUCUGACGGAGCAACGCCGCGUGAGUGAUGAAGGUUUUCGGAUCGUAAAACUCUGUUGUUAGGGAAGAACAAGUACGAGAGUAACUGCUCGUACCUUGACGGUACCUAACCAGAAAGCCACGGCUAACUACGUGCCAGCAGCCGCGGUAAUACGUAGGUGGCAAGCGUUGUCCGGAAUUAUUGGGCGUAAAGCGCGCGCAGGCGGUCCUUUAAGUCUGAUGUGAAAGCCCACGGCUCAACCGUGGAGGGUCAUUGGAAACUGGGGGACUUGAGUGCAGAAGAGAAGAGUGGAAUUCCACGUGUAGCGGUGAAAUGCGUAGAGAUGUGGAGGAACACCAGUGGCGAAGG
rnacentral:rRNA from 1 species